AGCUUUUCGAAUCAGUGAGCAGAUUUCGUCAUACACCAACCCAUUAGGGCUGAUCAGACUUCCAAGAUUGGUGUUGUC
rnacentral:pre_miRNA from 1 species